AACGAACGCUGGCGGCGUGGAUAAGACAUGCAAGUCGAGCGCUGAUUACAGGGUAGCAAUAUUCUGUGGUCGGAGCGGCGCAAGGGUGCGUAACACGUGGGUAAUCUGCCAUGAAGUUUGGAAUAACUCGCUGAAAGGCGAGCUAAUGCCGGAUGUGAAAGCUGAGAGGCAUCUCUCGGUUUUCAAAGCUGGUGACCGUAAGGCCUGGCGCUUCAUGAUGAGCCCGCGGCCUAUCAGCUAGUUGGUGAGGUAACGGCUCACCAAGGCUAAGACGGGUAGCUGGUCUGAGAGGACGACCAGCCACACUGGAACUGAGACACGGUCCAGACACCUACGGGAGGCAG
rnacentral:rRNA from 1 species